rnacentral:lncRNA from 1 species
AAAUACCCACUCCCACACGUUUUUUUAUGAAUAUGACUACAUGUGUAUGGAAUGAACCGCACGAGAAUCGAGACACAAAAAUAUAUUGGUGCACGCACACAUUGUUAAUAGAGGCAGAAAAAGAAAGGAGAAACGAACGUGAUUUUUCUUUUGUCUUCAUAUUAAAGCAGUUCAACAAGGUAGGAUAUAGAGGUGCAGUGUAUUUUUUUAAAAUCCCCAUUUAAAUUUGUUUUCAUGCUGAUGAACUUUAUACUCAUGAAAUUUAAAGUUAUGAUAUGAUAUGAAUGAUAUGGUCAUUCCGGAACAACAAUAUGAUAUGAGCUUACCGAAUUUUAAAGAUAUGAGACGGUAUGAUUUUCUGAUACAUGUUUUAAAAUUAUCAUACGGGAUCGCAUCAUUAAUUUUAUAUCAUACUGAGUAUUUUUAUGUACUCACCAUUUUCCCUACUCCUCACAGAUUAGAAUGAGUCGUUGGUUGGCGGGCGAUGCAGUGGAGUUGUGAUGCCAGAAAUUAUGGAAUUCAAAAUAAAUUAAUUCUGAGUAACAUGACUAGGAAAUUUUAUUUAUUUAUUUUCUUGCGUUAUUUCAGUUUUAUUUUCAUGUUAAAUUUGAAAUUUAAUAUUUGGAACAUGGUUCAGUUAAUUAUGUUUUCCAUAGACUUUAGUUAUUGUAUAGAUGGAACUAGAAAG